rnacentral:tRNA from 1 species
GCCUGGGUGGCUCAGUUGGUUGAGUGUCUGACUUUGGCUCCGGUUAUGAUCUGGUGGUUCACGGGUUCGAGCCCUGUGUCGGGCU